AAAGCGUUGUGCGACGCAUGCAUGCGUCCUACGCCUACUCUUCCGCCCCUCCCGCCUCUCGCGCCCACAUCGAGCUCUCUCUCUGCCCUCUAGCGAAGUUGCUGUACGUCACACGCACACUCACAGCCAAACGCGUGCUCGCAUCAUGAUCAUCCCAGUGCGUUGCUACUCGUGCGGUAAGGUGGUUGGCAACCUCUACGAGCAGUAUCAGCGGCUUUUGGAUCAGGACUACACGGAGGCCGAGGCGCUGGAUGCGCUGCAUCUGGAUCGCUACUGCUGCCGUCGCAUGAUCCUCUCCCAUAUUGAUCUGAUUGACGACCUCAUUCCUUAUAGUGUACCUGUGACGGGCACCAUGCAGAUGAUGGGGCCGCUGCAGAUGCCCACGCCGCACCGCCGCUGAGAAGCAUCACGCAUGCCACUCGUGCAGCUUCAACGCCUUGCUCGUCUCUCCUGCCUUUCAUUAGGCAGAGAGUGUGCCCUGUGUGUGCCGGUUCGCGCGCGUGUGUGUGUGUGGGCGGCGGCACCUCCCCCUCGUUUGUGGAUGUCGCUCGCUUUAUCUCUGCGCUACCCUUUUAAAAUUUUGCUUUCCCGCCUCUCUAACCGUGGCCGCGCGUGCAGAAGGCGGUGGGCGGCGGGCGGCGGGCACACUCGUGUAAUCCCUCUUGUUGUUUGUGCUUUCUAAGCCUCUGAGUGCGUAUGGCUGCGUGGAUAGGCGAGUGUAGCGAUGCGCGCCCAGUUGUUACCUUGUGCAUGUAUGCGCCCUCCUCCCUCUUUCUGUGUGAUCUCGCCCAACCCAAUGUGUGCAUGUGCGCCCUCGAGGGAUUCCACGCAACAGCGGUGCUGCAACGACCAUAGACACAUCUAUCCACCCUAGUUAUGGUGCUCCAGCGAGCAUACAUGCACGUGCACGGCCGGGCAUGCUCUUGCCUCCUCUCUCUGCGCCCGUGCGCCGCAGCUCUUGUCGCGCGCGUGUGGGUCCCUCCCUGAUCCACGCCAUGCCGCAUAUUCUUAUGCGCUUUCUCUCUCUUCCGCUCUUCACCAUCUUCGCAUGCUGCCACGGCCACCACAACGGCUACACUCCUGCACUGCCCCCCUCCCCCCACACACACGUCAUCAG
rnacentral:misc_RNA from 1 species